rnacentral:rRNA from 1 species
GACGAACGCUGGCGGCGUGCUUAACACAUGCAAGUCGAACGAGAAAGCACUUCGGUGUGAGUACAGUGGCGAACGGGUGAGUAACACGUGGGCAACCUGCCCUGGAGAGCGGGACAACCCGAGGAAACUCGGGCUAAUACCGCAUGAUGCGUCCUGGCUCAAGUCAGGCCGCCAAAUGGUAGCUCUUCGGAGCCUCCGCUCUGGGAUGGGCCCGCGCCGGAUUAGCUAGUUGGUUGGGGUAACGGCCCACCAAGGCGACGAUCCGUAGCUGGUCUGAGAGGACGAUCAGCCACACUGGGACUGAGACACGGCCCAGACUCCUACGGGAGGCAGCAGUGGGGAAUCUUGCGCAAUGGGCGAAAGCCUGACGCAGCAACGCCGCGUGAGGGAAGAAGGCCUUCGGGUUGUAAACCUCUUUCAGGAGGGACGAAGCUUCCGGGGUUAAUAGCCUACGGGGUGACGGUACCUCCAGAAGAAGCCCCGGCUAACUACGUGCCAGCAGCCGCGGUAAUACGUAGGGGGCAAGCGUUGUCCGGAAUCAUUGGGCGUAAAGCGCGUGUAGGCGGCUUGGUAAGUCUGGCGUGAAAUCUUGGGGCUCAACCCCAAGCCUGCGCUGGAUACUGCCUCGCUCGAGUCCGGGAGAGGAAAGCGGAAUUCCCAGUGUAGCG